rnacentral:rRNA from 1 species
GACGAACGCUGGCGGCGUGCUUAACACAUGCAAGUCGAGCGGUAAGGCCCUUUCGGGGGUACGACGAGCGGCGAACGGGUGAGCAACACGUGGGUGACCUGCCCUUACGCUCUGGGAGUAAGCCUGGGAAACGUGGGUCGUAAUACCGGGUAGUGACUCCAUAACGCAUGUUGUGGGGUGGAAAGCCUUGUGCGGCUAGGGAGUGGGCCCGCGGCCUAUCAGCUUGUUGGUGGGGUGAUGGCCUACCAAGGCGACGACGGGUAGCCGG